rnacentral:rRNA from 1 species
AUGGAUUGUAAUCUUAAGGUUGUUUUUUGGGACGUCCACGGUCUCAACUGCAGGGCCAAACGCAACAUUGUGCGCUCCGUUAUUAUUUUGGUCUCUCCCACUAUCGUGUGUCUCCAAGAGACCAAGCUUGACUCGGUCUCAUUGCCGCUCGUCAUUGAGACCCUUGGCCCCUGCUUCGCCGACUUCCUCUCUCUACCAGCUACUGACACCCGUGGCGGAAUUCUACUCGCCUGGAACUGCAACGAGAUCUCCAUCUCUAGCCCUUACAUUGGGCAACACCACAUCACUGCCCUUGUCUCUAUCACCACCGGUGCGCACCCUUGGUGGAUCUCCGGUGUGUACGGCCCUUGGUUACUUGGCGGUGAUUUCAACCUCGUUUCCUUCGUUGAAGAUAAGAGCAAUGGGCGCAUAAAUAGGCGCACCUCGAGCCGCUUCCGCAGGUUCAUCGCGGACAUGGAGCUUAGGGACAUAUACAUGCAUGGUCUCCGCUACACCUGGUCCAACGAACGAGACUCUCCAACCCUUGUGUGCAACGACAGAUUCCUCUACACUCCUGACUAG